rnacentral:tRNA from 1 species
GUGCUUGUAGCUCAAGUGGUAGAGCAUCCGCCUUUAUGAAGUCUUGGCUUUCUCAGAGCGGAUGAUGUGCGUUCGAAACGCGCCAAGCACGCAA